UACAGAGGUCUCGAGCGUUGUUCGGAUUCAUUGGGCGUAAAGGGCGCGUAGGCGGCGGUGUAAGUCUGGUGUGAAAUCUCGGAGCUCAACUCCGAAAUUGCACUGGAUACUGCUCUGCUAGAGGGCUGGAGAGGAGAUCGGAAUUCACGGUGUAGCAGUGAAAUGCGUAGAUAUCGUGAGGAAGACCAGUGGCGAAGGCGGAUCUCUGGACAGGUACUGACGCUGAGGCGCGAAGGCUAGGGGAGCAAACGGG
rnacentral:rRNA from 1 species